UAGCUACUAUGAUAUUGGCUUGGUUCACUCAGACAAACACACCCAGUUUUAGCUAUUUUAUUAAAAAAAUAUGCAAAACUAACAGAAAAUGGAAAACUUUUCUGUGGGUUUUGGUUUUGGUUUUGAUUGAGCCGUGCCAAUAUCUAAGUGCUAUUU